GAUGAACGCUGGCGGCGUGCCUAAUACAUGCAAGUCGAGCGAACAGACGAGGAGCUUGCUCCUCUGACGUUAGCGGCGGACGGGUGAGUAACACGUGGAUAACCUACCUAUAAGACUGGGAUAACUUCGGGAAACCGGAGCUAAUACCGGAUAAUAUAUUGAACCGCAUGGUUCAAUAGUGAAAGACGGUUUUGCUGUCACUUAUAGAUGGAUCCGCGCCGCAUUAUCUAGUUGGUAAGGUAACGGCUUACCAAGGCAACGAUGCGUAGCCGACCUGAGAGGGUGAUCGGCCACACUGGAACUGAGACACGGUCCAGACUCCUACGGGAGGCAGCAGUAGGGAAUCUUCCGCAAUGGGCGAAAGCCUGACGGAGCAACGCCGCGUGAGUGAUGAAGGUCUUCGGAUCGUAAAACUCUGUUAUUAGGGAAGAAAAAAUGUGUAAGUAACUAUGCACGUCUUGACGGUAACUAAUCAGAAAGCCACGGCUAACUACGUG
rnacentral:rRNA from 1 species